rnacentral:misc_RNA from 1 species
UCUACGAAUCUAUCGAUCUAAAGUUUUGGGAGAAUUUGAAUUACAGUACUUUCAAUCUUCACCUUUUUCUACGAAGAAGCUAUGUCGUGGUUCAUUCCUGCAAUGUAUUUAUUUACCUGAUUUUCGAUUCGCUGUUUCGUAAGGAAAUAAAAAGUUGGAUAGAAGGAUAGAAGGCGAUAGCGUGUAGACAUCAGGGAAAAUCAGAGUAUGUAUUGUGAUACCAUCUCUGAAGCUCAUGAACAUCUGAUUGUAUGCUAAACAAAAGUGUCUCAGUUACCAUUACGAUGUCAGUUUCCGGAAGCUUUAAGCGGACCAUAGUAAUCUGGAGGUGAACAUACAUACAAUGUACUUUUAAGCGGAUAUUUCUACUUGAGCAUUUUUGGUUCCUCACCCCCCCCCCCCCAAAAAAAAAAAAACACCACCUAAACUAUUUACAUAGAAAAUUUGUUUUCAUCCUUGGAAAUCUUUACUUAACAUAUACAAUUUAUACAAUUACAUGUACAAGUUGUAAAAAGUAUUAAAAAAGAAA